UAAAACGUAGGUGGCAAGCGUUAUCCGGAUUUACUGGGCGUAAAGGGUGUGCAGGCGGGGCAGCAAGUGGUGUAUGAAAUCUCCCGGCUUAACCGGGCGGGGUUAUGCCAGACUGCUACUCUAGAGGACGAGAGAGGGGGGUGGAAUUCCGGGUGUAGUGGUGAAAUGCGUAGAGAUCCGGAGGAACCCCAGAGGCGAAGGCGGCCCCCUGGCUCGUACCUGACGCUCAGCCACGAAAGCAUGGGGAGCGAACGGGAUUAGAAACCCCGGUAGUCCAUGCCGUAAACGAUGCAAACUAGGCGCUGACGGUCUCAACCCCGCCGGUGCCGCAGCUAACGCGAUAAGUUUGCCGCCUGGGGAGUACGGUCGCAAGGCU
rnacentral:rRNA from 1 species